rnacentral:rRNA from 1 species
CCUGCGGAGGAUCAUUAUUGAAUGAACUUGGUGUGGUUGUUGCUGGCUCUCUUGUGGGGGCAUGUGCACACCCGCCAUCCUCAUCUCUCCACCUGUGCACCUCUUGUAGACCUGGAUGAAUUUUCCGAGGUAACUCGGUCGGGAGGAAUGCUGCGCUCUUUGYGUCGGCUUUCUUUGCACUUCCAAGCCUACGUUUUUUUCAUAUACCCGUAGUAUGUAACAGAAUGUAUCAUUGGGCCUAAGUGCCUAUAAACCUUAUACAACUUUCAGCAACGGAUCUCUUGGCUCUCGCAUCGAUGAAGAACGCAGCGAAAUGCGAUAAGUAAUGUGAAUUGCAGAAUUCAGUGAAUCAUCGAAUCUUUGAACGCACCUUGCGCUCCUUGGUAUUCCGAGGAGCAUGCCUGUUUGAGUGUCAUUUAAUUCUCAACCUUAUUAGCUUUUGUUGAUAAUGGCUUGGAUGUGGGGGUUUUCUUUUGCUGGCUUUCUUCGGAUGUCAGCUCCCCUUAAAUGUAUUAGCCGGUGCCCUGCGUGGACUAUCCRUUGGUGUGAUAAUUAUCUACGCCGUUGGAUGUCUGCAAAUAGGUUUUGCACUGCUUCUAACUGUCUGUUCAUUUGGACAAUACAGACAAUUUGACCUCAAAU